rnacentral:rRNA from 1 species
AUUGAACGCUGGCGGCAGGCCUAACACAUGCAAGUCGAGCGAGCGGAGGACGGGUGAGUAAUGUAUGGGGACUGCCCGAUAGAGGGGGAUAACUACUGGAAACGGUAGCUAAUACCGCAUACUAUCGGAUAACCCAUAUGGGAGUAGCUAGUAGGUGUGGUAAUGGCUCACCUAGGCGACGAUCCCUAGCUGGUCUGAGAGGAUGAUCAGCCACACUGGGAUGGAGACACGGCCCAGACUCCUACGGAGGCAGCAGUGGGGCAUAUUGCACAAUGGGCGCAAGCCUUGUGCAUCCAUGCCGCGUGUAUGAAGAAGGCCCUAGGGUUGUAAAGUACUUUUGGCAGAGAAGCGGUAUCUGCAGAAUAAGCACCGGCUAACUACGUGCCAGCAGCCGCGGUAAUAC